CCUACGGGUGGCAGCAGUGGGGAAUAUUGCUCAAUGGGGGAAACCCUGAAGCAGCGACGCCGCGUGGGGGAAGAAGGGCCUCGGCGUGUAAAGCCCUUUUGGUAGGGAAGAAAAUGACGGUACCUGACGAAGAAGCCCCGGCUAACUACGUGCCAGCAGCCGCGGUAAUACGGAGGGUGCAAGCGUUAUCCGGAAUUACUGGGCGUAAAGGGGGCGUAGGCGGGGUAGCAAGUCAGGAGGGAAAGCCUCGGGCCUAACCCCAGAACUGCACUUGAAACUGGGAGUCUGGAGUGGAGGAGGGGUAGGUGGAAUUCUUGGUGUAGCGGUGAAAUGCGUAGAGAUCAAGAGGAAUACUGAUUGCGAAGGCGGCCUGCUGGAACGAAACUGACGCUGAGGCGCGAAAGCGUGGGGAGCAAACAGGAUUAGAUACCCGAGUAGUC
rnacentral:rRNA from 1 species